AUUGAACGCUGGCGGCAGGCCUAACACAUGCAAGUCGAGCGGAUGAAGGGAGCUUGCUCCUGGAUUCAGCGGCGGACGGGUGAGUAAUGCCUAGGAAUCUGCCUGGUAGUGGGGGAUAACGUCCGGAAACGGGCGCUAAUACCGCAUCCGUCCUGAGGGGGAAAGUGGGGGAUCUUCGGACCUCACGCUAUAAGAUGAGCCUAGGUCGGAUUAGCUAGUUGGUGGGGUAAAGGCCUACCAAGGCGACGAUCCGUAACUGGUCUGAGAGGAUGAUCAGUCACACUGGAACUGAGACACGGUCCAGACUCCUACGGGAGGCAGCAGUGGGGAAUAUUGGACAAUGGGCGAAAGCCUGAUCCAGCCAUGCCGCGUGUGUGAAGAAGGUCUUCGGAUUGUAAAGCACUUUAAGUUGGGAGGAAGGGCAGUAAGUUAAUACCUUGCUGUUUUGACGUUACCAACAGAAUAAGCACCGGCUAACUUCGUG
rnacentral:rRNA from 1 species